rnacentral:lncRNA from 1 species
GGAUUCUUGUCAUAAAAUUUUUCCCUAUAAUUUUGACUAAAAUAUAAUUUCCCUCCAGUAGGUGGCAGCAUGAGUUACCACAGCCUUUGAAUUAGGUUCUUGAUGGUCACAGCAGGAUAUGACCUGAACGUGCUGGAGAAAGGAAGUAACUGCAGAAUUAACAUCCUCAUGCAAAAUGGGAGAAAAAUUCACAACUUUAAAAAAAGAAAAAUGCUCCACAUCUAACCACACUUGUGAAAUACCUGCAGCAAGUCUCUCCAUCUGGUAAGCCAACAUCAGAGCUGAUACGCAUGAAGCAUUUAGAAUCAGAAGCACAGUUACCCCAUCACUGUCUUCCCAAUGUGUCAUGGCAUCAGAGGACAAAAGUGAAUGAAGCAGCCAUUUGAAGUUACGCUUGAAGAGAAGACAGGCCUCCUCUUGUUGACCUGUGAAUAUACUCUGUGGAAGAAAAGACUUGAAGGCAUACUACUUCCUACAUAACUCUGAGGAGUACUGCGGACUGGGCAACUGGUGAGUUUUUUCUUUUCUUUUCUUUUCUUUUAUCUGUGAUAGCAAAUUGUGGUGUCAGCUCCAAUAAGCAAUGCCUGGCUGAUUGGUUUAGCACAUGGACUUACUGAAGAGGAAAGUCCCACUAUCUGGGUGUGGGUGGCACCAACCAAUAGGCUUGCAGCCUGGACAGAAUAAGAAGGGAAAGAAGAAGAAAGUGUCACUGCUGCUUCUUCAGAGGAGCUCCAGUCUUCGCCAUUGCUUUGGGACAUUCAUCUCUAGCCUUCCAGUGGAGACUCUCCAGCUUCCUGAUACGGACUCCGAAGUGAGCUCCAGGCCUUUGACCUUUGACAGGAUCCUUUAGAUCUCCAGCAUGUGGACAGACCCUUUAUGUUCUCACACCUGACUCUGAGCAUGGCCACUGUAAGCCUACCUUGUAAAUCCUAUAUAUGUUAUAUACUGUAUAUAUAAUACUAUAUAAUACUAAGUCUGUUCCUCUAGUGAACUCUGAUACAUUAUCUUAUUUAUUUGUUUUGUGGUGCUGGGUAUUGAACCCAGAACCUUCAUACUGAGGUACAUCUGCAG